UACGUAGGUGGCAAGCGUUGUUCGGAAUUAUUGGGCGUAAAGGGCGCGUAGGCGGCUUGUUAAGUCGGCUGUGAAAGCCCGGGGCUCAACCCCGGAGGGUCGGCCGAUACUGGCGAGCUAGAGUACGGAAGAGGUAGCUGGAAUUCCCGGUGUAGCGGUGAAAUGCGUAGAUAUCAGGAGGAACACCGAUGGCGAAGGCGGUCUACUGGCAUGCAACUGACUCUCAGGGACGAAAGCGUGGGGAGCAAAC
rnacentral:rRNA from 1 species